rnacentral:rRNA from 1 species
AUUGAACGCUGGCGGCAGGCCUAACACAUGCAAGACGAACGAGUGGCGGACGGGUGAGUAAUGUCUGGGAAACUGCCUGCUGGAGGGGGAUAACUACUGGAAACGGUAGCUAAUGCCGCAUACCAUCAGAUGUGCCCAGAUGGGAUUAGCUUGUUGGUGGGGUAACGGCUCACCAAGGCGACGAUCCCUAACUGGUCUGAUAGGAUGACCGGCCAAACUGGAACUGAGACACAGUCCGGACUCCUACGGGAGGCAGCAGUGGGGAAUAAAGCACAAUGGGGGCAAGCCUGAUGCAGCCAUGCCGCGUGUAUGAAGAAGGCCUUCGGGUUGUAAAGUACUUUCAGCGAGGAGGCGUUACCCGCAGAAGAAGCACCGGCUAACUCCGUGCCAGCAGCCGCGGGAAUUA